GAUGAACGCUGGCGGCGUGCCUAAUACAUGCAAGUCGAACGCAUUGUGGUUGAAAUGAUAUGAAGAACUUGUUCAGAUUUGAUUUUCAACAUUGCAAUGAGUGGCGAACGGGUGAGUAACACGUGGGAAACCUACCUCUUAGCAGGGGAUAACAUUUGGAAACAAAUGCUAAUACCGUAUAAUAAUUAAAACCGCAUGGUUUAGUUUAAAAGAUGGUCUUGCUAUCACUAAGAGAUGGUCCCGCGGUGUAUUAGUUAGUUGGUGAGGUAAUGGCUCACCAAGACAAUGAUACAUAGCCGAGUUGAGAGACUGACCGGCACAAUGGGACUGAGACACGGCCCAUAC
rnacentral:rRNA from 1 species